rnacentral:rRNA from 1 species
GAUGAACGCUGGCGGCGUGCUUAACACAUGCAAGUCGAACGAGAAGUGAAGACGGAAACCUUCGGGCGGAAGGCUUUAUUUCGAGUGGCGGACGGGUGAGUAACGCGUGGGUAACCUGCCUCAUACGGGGGGAUAACAGUUGGAAACGACUGUUAAUACCGCAUAAGACCACAGCACCGCAUGGUGCGGGGGUAAAAACUCCGGUGGUAUGAGAUGGACCCGCGUUCGAUUAGCCAGUUGGCGGGGUAACGGCCCACCAAAGCGACGAUCGAUAGCCGAUCUGAGAGGAUGACCGGCCACAUUGGGACUGAGACACGGCCCAAACUCCUACGGGAGGCAGCAGUGGGGAAUAUUGCACAAUGGGGGAAACCCUGAUGCAGCGACGCCGCGUGAGUGAAGAAGUAUUUCGGUAUGUAAAGCUCUAUCAGCAGGGAAGAAAAUGACGGUACCUGAGUAAGAAGCCCCGGCUAACUACGUG